rnacentral:rRNA from 1 species
AUUGAACGCUGGCGGCAUGCCUUACACAUGCAAGUCGAACGGCAGCGCGGGGCAACCUGGCGGCGAGUGGCGAACGGGUGAGUAAAAUAUCGGAACAUACCCUAGAGUGGGGGAUAACGUAGCGAAAGUUACGCUAAUACCGCAUACGCACUAAGGUGGAAAGUGGGGGAUCUUCGGACCUCAUGCUCAUGGAGUGGCCGAUAUCUGAUUAGCUAGUUGGUGAGGUAAAGGCUCACCAAGGCGACGAUCAGUAGCUGGUUUGAGAGAACGACCAGCCACACUGGAACUGAGACACGGUCCAGACUCCUACGGGAGGCAGCAGUGGGGAAUUUUGGACAAUGGGGGCAACCCUGAUCCAGCAAUGCCGCGUGAGUGAAGAAGGCCU